rnacentral:rRNA from 1 species
UACGGGGGGAGCAAGCGUUGUUCGGAUUUACUGGGCGUAAAGGGCGCGUAGGCGGUCAGCACAAGUCAGUUGUGAAAUCUCCGGGCUUAACUCGGAAAGGUCAACUGAUACUGUGCGACUAGAGUGCAGAAGGGGCAACUGGAAUUCUCGGUGUAGCGGUGAAAUGCGUAGAGUAUCGAGAGGAACACCUGCGGCGAAGG